CAGUUUCUCAAAUAAAAAAUACAAAAUAAAUUAACUGAAUAUUUGAUUUUACUGCACUUUUUUCCUUUAAAUUUACUUUAUUCUUUACCAAAUCACAGAAAGUUGCUUUUGUUUCUUAAAACAACAGUUUCAAAGUUGCACCACUCGCUUCCAUCCUCCGCUUUGGAAGCAAGGCUCGAGGGAUAUCGCCACCCCGCAAUAAACAAGAGAUAUUUUUAGCAGCUUCCUGUCAACGUACGCAUUAACAAUCCCACUAAACUAUUGACAGAAUUGAAUCAUUGACCAGAAGCUAAAUUGUGAUGAAUAAUGCUGUUUCAUCUUUGCAGAGUGGAAAACACAAAUGCUACUUGGGCCAAUCAUUUUCUUUUGCUUCAAUGGUAUAAUUUGCGCCAACGGACUGCCUCUUCAUGUUUGAUGUGAGCGCCAGCUGAAGGUAAGGGUGCUUUGGCCUCAAUUUGCACCUGAAAGCCCUCGUCGUUUUGUCUCUGUUUAAUUGUGACAGUAUAUUUAACUGCAUUAAAACAAUCCCCCAGUUGUUUGGUUUUGUCUUUGCACGUCUCUCUUGUGCUCAGGAGGACUCCCACACAUAGCUGGAUGCAGGUCCCUGUGCAUCAGAUAUGCUCCAGACCCGUUCUGCUGAAAGGAACAAGAAAAUGAAGCUGAAAGUGGGAUCUGCAGCAGCUCCUGGCUCGCCGUCAUCACCUCUGCGCCGGCGAUGAAACCUGAAGCCUGACCCAUCAACUCUUACACACAGCGCACUUAAUUAGAAGCUGAGGAUUCGUGCAUCCUCAGAGCUUCAGCAUAAAUCUCCUUAUUAGAUCUGAACCACGUGAACUCGCCGUCUCCAAAGAUCCUGACUAAAAGCAAUGAAGUGGCCCGCACUCCAAAGAGAGAGAAGGAAGUCUGUCAAUGUAGUUUUUAUCACAGCAUCAGCAGACAUUCAUUGUCUGACUUAGACUUUUCAGGGAAAAUGUGGUCAAACUUUGAUCAAAUUCAGAAGCAGUGAAGAAAUCCGAGAACAAACAGAAAUUACAGAUAUGUCACUGAACUUUUAAAUGAUGGGUUAUAGAAAAAAAUCACUUACUUAAGUAACCUAUGCAAAAUAUACUCUAAAUGAAAUUAUAUUUCUGCUUUAUAGAUGAUUUUAUAAUGAAAGAACAGCAGUAUUAUUCAUUUACUCAUUUGCAUCUGUCAAAAUACUUUUCUUUUUGCUUACAAAACAAACUGAUUAUAAAAAACUAUGAGCAUUUCAGCCAAUUCUGUUCAGCUUUCACUGGACAACCACAAUCUGUGCACAACAAGAUGUGGGAUGUGAAGGGAUUUUGAACAUGCAAAGACAAACAACGAAAGAGCUACUCGCCAGAAGCAGCAGUGAUUAUAAUAUAACUGUCAUUUGGCACAUUUCCUCAAAGCAUUAAAGACAUGGUGUCAUAUUCAAAAUUCAGACAAAGUUUAAAAAUCCGAUUUUUGUUUCAGAAAUUUUCAAAAGCAUUUUUGUGUUGAAAACUGUCAAAAAUCCAAAAUGAUUAAAUCCCACACAUCAGAAAAGCUUUGUUAUCCUUAACAUUGCAAAUAUAUUAUCUCAAUUUCAAAUUAUUAUGGCUUUUUUCCUGACUUUGUAAGUUGUAGUUUUUUUAUUUUUUGCUGUUGGAUGAAAUUGAAGUUUCUAUGUAUCAUUUUGCAUAUUACUAUCUAUAAGAUGACUGGUAGAAUAUAUUUUGUGAUUUAAAGUUGUUAAUUGGUUUGCUAUUUCUUUAAAUUUUAUGUAUUUUUUUUAGUUAGAAGUCAGAAGAUACAAGUUUUUGAAGAGAAACUGAAAACAAGAAACCCUUUUUUAAAUCCAGAAUAGACAACACAAAUGAAUCAACAGCUUCUCUAAGAGGGACUUCAGUUAAAUUAUGAACUCAAGUCAGUGACUUUAAUAUAUACAGCACAUCUCACUAAUAAAAAAACCCAAUCUGCAGCUUAUCCAAAGCUUAUUUGGAGUUGCAUUUGUACCAAAAAAUGAAAAAAGAAAAUAUCAUUAUUCGCAAAUGAUAUCCAAGCGUAAUAGCACGUUAUGGAGUUGUCAUCACUGCACCCACAUCCGUUGUGAACAAACACGACGACACUUCAGCAAACUGAGGGAAAUGGUUGAUUGGGGAGUUCAUGAAACUUAACGAGAACUUUACGAUGAAAAAUAUCUGUUUCCAGUUUCUGUUUGGCUACAUAAAUAAAAAAAGGACUAUCUGCUUGAAAUAUGAGGAUUUUAAUGAUGAAAGUAGAAAUGCGUUUGAAUAAUAUCCAAACGGAUUGAGAGGAAAAAUCGUUUUUCCACAAUUAAUUGAGUUCUGAAGUGUAACUGUUGUUUUUUUUAUUAAAACGUCACAAAUGAGAGCAAUUAAAUCACUUCUCAACACCUGCAGAGGUAGAAAUUUGAAGUAAAGACACUGAAAUCUCACUGUGUUCCUGUUUGACACUUAGCAGUAAUUUGCUCCUUGCAGCAAUAACAAUCCUGCACAAAGGUUUUGCAUUAUUGUUGGGGAGCUGCAGGGCAGACUACCAUUAGGCCAAGGCAGGCGAUCGCCUAGGGCUCCCCAGGGAACUAGGGAACACUCUGGGGGCUCUGAGCUAAACACUUAACAAAAGUGUCUAAAAUACAUUUUACACCCAUUAUUAUUUAAUUCUAUGAGUAAAAAAAAAACAAAAAAAAAAAAAAA